rnacentral:ncRNA from 1 species
UUCUCCAAGGGGUAAAAGGGAAGCGGGUGUGAUUCCCGCACGAUCUCGUCACUGUGAUUAGGGAGUGGGACAGUUGGGGCUUAUGCUUAUGAAUAAAGAGCAAAGUCAGCCACUGACGCCUUGCGUUGGGAAGGUAACUGUUUCAUGAGGAGCUUUCAGCCAGGAAACCUGCCAAUUAUAAU